rnacentral:rRNA from 1 species
UGAGGAAUAUUGGUCAAUGGGCGAGAGCCUGAACCAGCCAAGUAGCGUGCAGGAUGACGGCCCUAUGGGUUGUAAACUGCUUUUAUGCGGGGAUAAAGUGCGCGACGUGUCGUGCAUUGCAGGUACCGCAUGAAUAAGGACCGGCUAAUUCCGUGCCAGCAGCCGCGGUAAUACGGAAGGUCCGGGCGUUAUCCGGAUUUAUUGGGUUUAAAGGGAGCGUAGGCCGCCAGGUAAGCGUGUUGUGAAAUGUACCGGCUCAACCGGUGAAUUGCAGCGCGAACUGUUUGGCUUGAGUGCACGGUAAGCAGGCGGAAUUCAUGGUGUAGCGGUGAAAUGCUUAGAUAUCAUGAAGAACUCCGAUUGCGAAGGCAGCUUGCUGCAGUGCGACUGACGCUGAUGCUCGAAGGUGCGGGUAUCAAACAGG